GGGGCAGUAGCUCAACUGGGAGAGCGUCGGGCUGGCAGUCCGAAGGUUGUGGGUUCAAUCCCCAUCUGUCUCCACCA
rnacentral:tRNA from 1 species